rnacentral:rRNA from 1 species
CCUACGGGAGGCUGCAGUGAGGAAUAUUGGUCAAUGGGCGCGAGCCUGAACCAGCCAAGUCGCGUGAGGGAAGAUGGUCCUAUGGAUGGUAAACCUAUUUUGUAGGGGAGCAAAAGACGCCACGCGUGGCGUUCCGCGCGUACCCGAAGAAAAAGGAUCGGCUAACUCCGUGCCAGCAGCAGCGGUAAUACGGAGGAUGCGAGCGUUAUCCGGAUUUAGUGGGUUUAAAGGGUGCGCAGGCGGAAGAGCAAGUCAGCGGUAAAAGUGAGAGGCUCAACCUCUUCGAGCCGUUGAAACUGGUGUGCUUGAGUGAGUGAGAAGUAUGCGGAAUGCGUGGUGUAGCGGUGAAAUGCAUAGAUAUCACGCAGAACUCCGAUUGCGAAGGCAGCAUACCGGAGCUCAACUGACGUUCAUGCACGAAAGUGUGGGUAUCGAACAGGAUUAGAUACCCCUGUAGUC